UACGUAGGGUGCGAGCGUUGUUCGGAAUUACUGGGCGUAAAGGGCGCGUAGGCGGGUUUGCAAGUCGUUUGUGAAAUCCCCGGGCUUAACCUGGGAAUGGCAGGCGAAACUGCAGAUCUUGAAUGCUUGAGAGGUUGGCGGAAUUGCAGGUGUAGAAGUGAAAUUCGUAGAUAUCUGCAAGAACACCGGAGGCGAAGGCGGCUGACUGGCAAGACAUUGACGCUAAGGCGCGAAAGCGUGGGGAUCAAACAGG
rnacentral:rRNA from 1 species